GUAGUCUGCAACCCGGCUACAUGAAGCUGGAAUCGCUAGUAAUCGCAGAUCAGAAUGCUGCGGUGAAUACGUUCCCGGGUCUUGUACACACCGCCCGUCACACCAUGGGAGUCGGAAAUGCCCGAAGUCGGUGACCCAACCGUUUACGGAGGGAGCUGCCGAAGGCAGGUCUGGUGACUGGGGUGAAGUCGUAACAAGGUACC
rnacentral:rRNA from 1 species